AAAAGGUUAUGGAUUUGGACAUGGAAAGAAAGAUUCAAUCUUUGUAACCGAGAGAUGGAGAGUAACACAAAUAACAAUAAGAGAAGCGAAAUCGGGAAGCCGAUGGUUGGAUUGAUAUGCGGUACGUUGGUGUACUAUCACUGUGCGUAUCGGAAUGCCAGCCUUCUCUCUUUGGUUUCCGAUGUUCUCAUCGUCCUCCUCUGCUCCCUCGCCAUUCUCGGUCUGCUCUUCCG
rnacentral:misc_RNA from 1 species